GGGUGCAUGGUUUAAUGGCAUAAUUCCCCUUUAGCAUAGGGGCGGUUCCCGGUUCGAUUCCGGGUGCAUCCA
rnacentral:tRNA from 1 species